GAGUUUGAUUAUGGCUCAGACCCUUUUNNGGGCGGCGUGCUUAACACAUGCAAGUCGAACGANCUNGGAUUAUAGCUUGCUAUAAUUGUCAGCUAAGUGGCGCACGGGUGAGUAAUAUAUAGGUAACAUGCCCUUUACAAAGAAAUAACAGUUGGAAACGACUGCUAAUGUCUUAUAUGCCUCUAACACAUAAGUGUGCGAGGGAAAGAUUUAUCGGUAAAGGAUUGGCCUGUACGGUAUCAGCUAGUUGGUGAGGUAAAAGCUCACCAAGGCAAUGACGCCUAACUGGUUUGAGAGGAUGAUCAGUCACACUGGAACUGAGACACGGUCCAGACUCCUACGGGAGGCAGCAGUGGGGAAUAUUGCACAAUGGGGGAAACCCUGAUGCAGCAACGCCGCGUGGAGGAUGACACAUUUCGGUGCGUAAACUCCUUUUAUAUAGGAAGAUAAUGACGGUACUAUAUGAAUAAGCGCCGGCUAACUCCGUGCCAGCAGCCGCGGUAAUACGGAGGGCGCAAGCGUUACUCGGAAUCACUGGGCGUAAAGAGCGUGUAGGCGGGUUAAUAAGUUGGAUGUGAAAUCCUAUGGCUCAACCAUAGAACUGCAUCCAAAACUGUUAACCUAGAGUAUGGGAGAGGUAGAUGGAAUUUCUGGUGUAGGGGUAAAAUCCGUAGAGAUCAGAAGGAAUACCGAUUGCGAAGGCGAUCUACUGGAACAUUACUGACGCUGAGACGCGAAAGCGUGGGGAGCAAACAGGAUUAGAUACCCUGGUAGUCCACGCCCUAAACGAUGUACACUAGUUGUUGCCAUACUAGAUAUGGCAGUAAUGCAGUUAACACAUUAAGUGUACCGCCUGGGGAGUACGGUCGCAAGAUUAAAACUCAAAGGAAUA
rnacentral:rRNA from 1 species